rnacentral:tRNA from 1 species
GGGCGGUUAGCUCAGCCGGUUAGAGCGCGUGGUCGACAUCCACGAGGUCAGAGGUUCAAGUCCUCUACCGCCCA